UACAGAGGGUGCGAGCGUUAAUCGGAAUUACUGGGCGUAAAGCGUGCGUAGACGGUUAUUUAAGUCGGGUGUGAAAGCCCCGGGCUCAACCUGGGAAUUGCAUUCGAGACUGUGUAGCUAGGAUGCGGAAGAGGGAAGCGGAAUUUCCGGUGUAGCGGUGAAAUGCGUAGAUAUCGGAAGGAACACCAGUGGCGAAAGCGGCUUCCUGGUCCAGCAUCGACGUUCAGGCACGAAAGCGUGGGGAGCAAACAGG
rnacentral:rRNA from 1 species